rnacentral:rRNA from 1 species
AUGCCGCCUGUUUUUCAGCAUGGGGAGCUCCAACCCUGCAUUCUGCUUCUUGUGUGCGCCUUCUUGCUGUGUAUGGUGAAGGCCUUUGGCGCUUCUGUUACAUAUUUGCUGUGUUCUGUACAUGCUCGUCAAACUGACUUACAGCUUUGCUGUGUUCUGUACAUGCUCGCCGAAUUGGCUCUUACAGCUUCGCUGUGUUCUGUACAUGCUCGCCAAAUUGGCUCUUACAGAUUUGCUGUGUUCUGUACAUACUCGCCGAAUUCGCUAGUUACAAACUUGUUCUGCACACAUUCUGUUACUGAUUACUGUAAAUCAACAAAGAACUAG